CGUCUAGGCGGGGGAUUAAGUUAGAUGUGAAAGCUAUGGGCUCAACCCAUAAAUUGCAUCUAAGACUGGUUCUCUUGAGUCCGGGAGAGGAGAGCGGAAUUCCAGGUGUAGCGGUGAAAUGCGUAGAUAUCUGGAAGAACACCAGUGGCGAAGGCGGCUCUCUGGCCUAGGACUGACGCUGAAGCGCGAAAGCGUGGGGAGCGAACA
rnacentral:rRNA from 1 species